GACGUAGGGUGCAAGCGUUGUCCGGAUUUAUUGGGCGUAAAGAGCUCGUAGGCGGUCUGUCGCGUCGGCUGUGAAAUCCCGAGGCUCAACCUCGGGUCUGCAGUCGAUACGGGCAAACUAGAGUAUUGCAGGGGAGACUGGAAUUCCUGGUGUAGCGGUGAAAUGCGCAGAUAUCAGGAGGAACACCGGUGGCGAAGGCGGGUCUCUGGGCAAUAACUGACGCUGAGGAGCGAAAGCGUGGGGAGCGAACAGG
rnacentral:rRNA from 1 species